AGAAUCAACGCUGGCGGCGUGCCUAACACAUGCAAGUCGAACGAGAGAGGGACUUCGGUCCCGAGUACAGUGGCGCACGGGUGAGUAACACGUGACUAACCUACCCUGGAGUGGGGAAUAACUGAGGGAAACCUUAGCUAAUACCGCAUAAUACCUACGGGUCAAAGGAGCAAUUCGCUUCAGGAGGGGGUCGCGGCCGAUUAGCUAGUUGGCGGGGUAAUGGCCCACCAAGGCAAUGAUCGGUA
rnacentral:rRNA from 1 species